rnacentral:tRNA from 2 species
GCCAUUGUAGCUCAGAUGGAAGAGCGCCUGUCUGAAGAACAGGAGGUCGAUAGCUCGAAACUAUCCUUUGGCACCA